AUGCUUUCUUUUCCAAUAUGCGUGGAGCAGACCUUCAAUCCCUCAGAUCCCGACUGUGUGGACCGGCUCCUACAAUGCAUUAGCCAGGCAGUGCCCCUCUUCUCUAAAAAUGUUCAUUCUACAAAAUUUGUGACUUACUUCUGUGAGCAGGUUCUUCCUAACCUCAGUUCCUUGACUGCCCCUGUGGAGGGUCUUGACAUACAAUUGGAGGUAUUGAAACUGUUGGCAGAGAUGAAUCCAUUUUGUGGUGACAUGGAAAAGCUAGAGACAAAUUUAAGGAAACUGUUCGAUAAGUUGUUGGAGUUCAUGCCUCUCCCAUCAGAAGAAGUGGAAAAUGGAGAGAACGCUGGCAUUGAAGAACCUAAGCUGCAGUUCAGUUAUGUGGAUUGUCUGUUAUACAGCUUUCACCAGUUGGGUGGAAAACGUCCAGAUUUCCUAACAAUCAAACUGAAUGCAGAAAAGCUCAAAGAUUUCAAAAUCAGGCUUCAGUACUUUGCACUAGGCCUGCAGGUUUAUAUCAGACAACUUCACUUGGCUCUGCAGGGGAAAACAGGAGAGGCCUUAAAGACAGAAGAGAACAAGAUUAAAGUUGUUGCAUUGAAAAUCACAAAUAAUAUCAAUGUUUUAAUCAAGGAUCUCUUCCACAUUCCUCCUUCUUAUAAGAGCACAGUAACAUUAUCCUGGAAGCCCGUACAGAAGGUUGAGUUGGGGCAAAAGAGAACCAGUGAAGAUACGACUUCAGGUUCACCACCCAAAAAAGUCUACAGCAGGACCAAAAAGGGAUGCCAGACAAAUUUAUAAUCCUCCUAGUGGAAACUACAGCAGCAAUUUGGGCAAUUUUAAUUAUGAGAAGAGAGGAGCCUUCAGGGGAAGCAGAGGUGGCCGAGGCUGGGGAGCACGAGGAAAUCGAAGUCGGGGAUGACUCUACUAA